GAUGUUAUGAACCAGAAAAAUCCCGAUUUCUCGGGUGACGGAACAUUAGAGACGGGAGAUGGAUUUGCAGAUUCCUGCUUUUCUACUAGUGAAUCAGAUUUUGAAAGUGACAAAUUAGAUGAUUGUGAUGAUGGGAGGAUAGAAGUUAGUUUUCCCCAGAAAGGAGAGAUGACCUCAACCACAAUGAAUACAUCUUAUGCUUUCCAGAACAAAUUUGAAUUUCAUAAGCAAGAGCUACCGAUACACUCAAAAAAAUGAUAUGAGAUGGAAAUCUGAUUUUUU
rnacentral:misc_RNA from 1 species